AUACGGAGGGUGUAAGCGUUACUCGGAAUCACUGGGCGUAAAGCGCGCGCAGGCGGCUUGAUAAGUUGGAUGUGAAAGCCUACGGCUCAACCGUAGAACUGCAUCCAAAACUGUCAGGCUAGAGUGUGGGAGAGGAAGAUGGAAUUAGUUGUGUAGGGGUAAAAUCCGUAGAGAUAACUAGGAAUACCAAAAGCGAAGGCAAUCUUCUGGAACACUACUGACGCUGAGGCGCGAAGGCGUGGGGAGCAAACAGGAUUAGAAACCCGAGUAGUCC
rnacentral:rRNA from 1 species